rnacentral:rRNA from 1 species
GCAACCACCGCUCCUGACCUGAGCUCCGUCGAGAAACCAACAAAGAAUCCAAAAAGGGUCAGACGCCCAGGCCACCAUGGCGAACCCAUCCACGAGCUCGAGGCCGUCGUGCGCGUCUCCCAGUGGCACCAAGCUCACCUGCCUCUGCUCGCCGACCAACCACCCGGGCUCCUUCCGCUGCACUCGCCACCGCAACCCGCAGGGGCGACCGCAGACGUCGUCGCCACCGUCGUCCAGCCGGGCCUCGCAGCAGGCCGCGGCUUCGGGCAGGAGCACGACGGUGCGCGUUGAGGGGAUCAUCAGGAACGCCGGCGUCGGCUCGGGAGGCAGGACCGGCCCUUGCCGGUCCGUCCUGCGAGCGCACCUGCUGCGGCUGGUCAGCCCGCCUUCCUCCGGCUGCAGCGACCGCCGCCGCUGCCGCGACUUCAAGCCCCGCCCGUCCAGGCUGGGCCGCCUCGGCAUGACCGCGUGACGCCGGUCGGCCGCUGCUCCUCUGCUCUGCUUCGCAGCUCGUAGUGGUGAACGGUGCGCCUCUAUUUCGCGCGCACCGACGCUUGGAUCCGUUUAUCUAGCAGAUACUAGCUCCGAGCCUAGGAUCCAGUACUACUCUGGAAUCAAUGCUUUGUUAGUACUGUGAUGAACUGGUCAUAGUGCUGAUAAUGACUAGGGUACUCCUCUGUGCACAUCUUCCUUGUAAUUUUUCCAGAGGGAUGAAACGG